rnacentral:lncRNA from 1 species
UCAGGACCUAGCUUCUCCUGCCUUCCCCUUCUCUUUUUUCUCACAGAUUCACAGCAUCUCCAAAUUGGAAAAGCCCUUCAUUGACACAGUCACCUGCUCAGGUCACCAUCAAGUACACUCUACAAAUAACUAUCCAGCUUGUACCCAAGCACGAAUCCAGUCUACACUGUCCCUCUCCCCAAAGACCUCCACUGAAGAGGAACCCACUGCCUUCCAAGAAGUUCCAAGGGCCCUAAAAACCCUGAGUUACUGUCGACAUUGGAGCCCACGAGAUAGACCAUGGGUCUAGCAACCCCACUUAAGACAGGUCUCUCUUUCUUCAUCUUAAAUGGUCAUGCUGCCUGCUUGCUGCACUGGAGGAACCCCAGUGAUAGGCUGCUUCAAAGCUAUAGUGACAAGAGAAAGGGC